GGGAGGAAGAGGGAGAGACUCAGCCAACGACGUCAUCGGAUCCCCCAGCGCGUCCCAGGGAGGGAGGCUGAACCAGAAAAACCAGUCUGGAGCCAAGUAUUGUCAGAAAAUCAUUUCGAACUGAAAUUUUCAUUCAAAAAUAUUUAUUGAAUGCCGGCUAUGUGCUGAAGAUUCUUAAGAUACAUCAGUGAACAAAUCAAAGUUCCCUGCUUUCUUGGAGCUUGCAUUCCAGCGGGAGGAGAGGAUUUGGAGGAAGAAUGGGAUAGACAAUAAAUCACAAGACCUCCUGCCACAGAGCAUGGGACCUGAUAUAUCCAGGCAGGAGAACUGGGUACCAGGAGACACUGUACAUGAAGUUUCCAGAACCAGCCAUGUCCAUCUUACUAAUCAAGACUCUCUCUGUUAAAUCUGCAACUCAAAUGACUUUAAGGAAAAAUGGAUUUCAUUGAUUCACAUAACCAUCACUCAAGGACUAACUUUCAACAUAGUGAGAUCCUGAGGCUCAAAUAUUAUUACCCGGGUUCCAUGAACUGCUUCCUCUGACAUGAGAUCUAACAAGGCUAAAGACUAAAAUGCAGCUGUUUACAGCGUAAGUAGGAGGCCGUCCCGUGCAGUGCAAAAUCAACAGAGAGGAGACAGUCCUAUGCCUUCGAGAGACAGUCUGCUGAUACUGUCAUGAUGUCUAGUGACAGGCCAGAGAUCAAAACCCAACACCCUCAUUUACCUGACAGUGAUUUGGCCAAUCCCUUAACAUCUCUAAGAGCUUCAUUUUUCUACAAAAUUGAGACAAUAGUAUUUGUUUCAUAGUGUUACUGUCAGGGUUAAAUGUUAUACAUUAAGCAUUUAAUAUAUGCUGCUUGUUUAUCUAAAUAUUCAUGGUCAGGCACUAACUUCUUAUGUGACUCUGAGCAAUGCAUUCAUCUCUGUACCUGUUUCCUCAUCCAUAAAUUGGGAGUUGAACAAGGUGAGCCCUAAGUUUCGUUCCAACUUCAAUAUUCUAUAAUUCUUGCAACUUAUAUGGCCUCAGUUUUCUUAUCUUUAUAAUGGGCAUAAGAGUACCUACCUCACAGAAUUUUUGAGAGGAUAAAAUGAAUUAAGACAGGUAGAAAAUUCUUAGAACAGUGCCUGCCACAUUGGAAGUGCUUAAUAUGUAUUAGCUGUGAUGAUGCUGCUAAUGAUGAAGAUGAUAAUGACCCUAUUUGCAGAUAGUAUGGCAGCCAUAAAACAUUCAGUAUCAGAUUGAUUACAUUCUCUUAUUUUCUGAGUCAAUGCCAGAGCUACCAAGAUUUUAUUCUUUAAAGGUUCUUCAAGACUAAAUUCUUUUUACAUGAUAUGAUUAUUACACAUUGUAUGUCCGUAUCAGACCAGCCUGGCCAACAAGGUGAAACCCCAUCUCUAAAAAUACAAAAAUUAGCAGGGCAUGGUGGCACGCACCUGUAGUCCCAGCUACUCGGGAGGCUGAGGCAGGAGAAUCACUUGAACCCGGGAGGCAGAGAUUGCAGUGAGCUGAGAUCGUGCCACUGCACUCCAGCCUGGCAGAGUGAGACUCCAUCUUAAAAAAUAAAUAAAUAAAUAAAUAAAUAAAUCUCAUGUACUCCAUAGAUAUGGGGUACCUACUAUGUACUCACAAAAAUUAAUUUUUUUUUAGAAAAGCCUAAGCUCAUUUGCUUCUUAGUAAGAAUUAUGUUAAGAUUUCCCAGUGUAGAUACCCUAGGCUGCUAAUUUUUUUUCUUUUGUUAUCAGUAUCUUAAGAAAUUAAUUGGCCCGGGAGUGGUGGCUCAUGCCUGUAAUCCCUGCAGUUUGGAAGGCCAAGAUGGGAGGAUUGUUUGAGGCCAAGAGUUCAAAACCAGCCUGGGCAACAUAGUGAGAUACUAUCUGUAUAUAAAAUAAAAAAAUUAGUGAGGCAUGGUGUCAUAAGCCUGUGGUCCCAGCUACUUGGGAGGCUGAGGUGAGAGGAUUGCUUGAGCCCAGGAGGUCAAGGCUGCAGUGAGCUGUGAUGGUGACACUGCACUCCAGCCUGGGCUAUAGAGCAAGACCCUGUCACCC
ensembl:lncRNA HIVEP2-DT HIVEP2 divergent transcript